CAGCCGCCGCGGUAAUACGAAGGGUGCAAGCGUUACUCGGAAUUACUGGGCGUAAAGCGUGCGUAGGUGGUGGCUUAAGUCCGUUGUGAAAGCCCUGGGCUCAACCUGGGAAUUGCAGUGGAUACUGGGUCACUAGAGUGUGGUAGAGGAUAGUGGAAUUUCCGGUGUAGCAGUGAAAUGCGUAGAGAUCGGAAGGAACAUCUGUGGCGAAGGCGGCUAUCUGGGCCAACACUGACACUGAGGCACGAAAGCGUGGGGAGCAAACAGGAUUAGAUACCCGGGUAGUCCCUGUCUCUUAUAC
rnacentral:rRNA from 1 species